rnacentral:rRNA from 1 species
GUUUGUGCUACCCUGAACGUACCCGAUCUCGUCUGAUCUCGGAAGCUAAGCAGGGUCAGGCCUGGUUAGUACUUGGAUUGGAGACCACCUAGGAAUACCAGGUGCUGUAGGUG